UCCCUGGUGGUCCAGUGGUUAAGACUCUGUGCUUCCACUGCAGGGAGGGUUGGUUCGAUCCCUGGUCAGGGAA
rfam:TPA: Bos taurus chromosome 1, whole genome shotgun sequence.